rnacentral:rRNA from 1 species
AUUGAACGCUGGCGGCAUGCCUUACACAUGCAAGUCGAACGGCAGCACGGGAGCAAUCCUGGUGGCGAGUGGCGAACGGGUGAGUAAUAUAUCGGAACGUGCCCAGUCGUGGGGAUAACGUAGCGAAAGCUACGCUAAUACCGCAUACGAUCUAAGGAUGAAAGCGGGGGAUCGCAAGACCUCGCGCGAUUGGAGCGGCCGAUAUCAGAUUAGGUAGUUGGUGAGGUAAAGGCUCACCAAGCCAACGAUCUGUAGCUGGUCUGAGAGGACGACCAGCCACACUGGAACUGAGACACGGUCCAGACUCCUACGGGAGGCAGCAGUGGGGAAUUUUGGACAAUGGGCGCAAGCCUGAUCCAGCAAUGCCGCGUGCAGGAUGAAGGCCUUCGGUUGUAAC